AGAGUUUGAUCAUGGCUCAGGACGAACGCUGGCGGCGUGCCUAAUACAUGCAAGUCGAGCGAGCGGAACCAACAGAUUUACUUCGGUAAUGACGUUGGGAAAGCGAGCGGCGGAUGGGUGAGUAACACGUGGGGAACCUGCCCCUAAGUCUGGGAUACCAUUUGGAAACAGGUGCUAAUACCGGAUAAUAAAGCAGAUCGCAUGAUCAGCUUUUGAAAGGCGGCGUAAGCUGUCGCUAAGGGAUGGCCCCGCGGUGCAUUAGCUAGUUGGUAAGGUAACGGCUUACCAAGGCGACGAUGCAUAGCCGAGUUGAGAGACUGAUCGGCCACAUUGGGACUGAGACACGGCCCAAACUCCUACGGGAGGCAGCAGUAGGGAAUCUUCCACAAUGGACGCAAGUCUGAUGGAGCAACGCCGCGUGAGUGAAGAAGGUUUUCGGAUCGUAAAGCUCUGUUGUUGGUGAAGAAGGAUAGAGGUAGUAACUGGCCUUUAUUUGACGGUAAUCAACCAGAAAGUCACGGCUAACUACGUGCCAGCAGCCGCGGUAAUACGUAGGUGGCAAGCGUUGUCCGGAUUUAUUGGGCGUAAAGCGAGCGCAGGCGGAAAAAUAAGUCUAAUGUGAAAGCCCUCGGCUUAACCGAGGAACUGCAUCGGAAACUGUUUUUCUUGAGUGCAGAAGAGGAGAGUGGAACUCCAUGUGUAGCGGUGGAAUGCGUAGAUAUAUGGAAGAACACCAGUGGCAAAGGCGGCUCUCUGGUCUGCAACUGACGCUGAGGCUCGAAAGCAUGGGUAGCGAACAGGAUUAGAUACCCUGGUAGUCCAUGCCGUAAACGAUGAGUGCUAAGUGUUGGGAGGUUUCCGCCUCUCAGUGCUGCAGCUAACGCAUUAAGCACUCCGCCUGGGGAGUACGACCGCAAGGUUGAAACUCAAAUGAAUUGACGG
rnacentral:rRNA from 1 species